CGGGAAAGCAAACAGCUCUUCCUGACUGUGCGAGAGAGGUGAGGCCAUAAGGGAGUAAAGAAGUGACAGGAACUUUGGCGUCCACCAGCAGAGCCACAAGGUCCCCAGCAGCACAGGAGAGGAAGAGCAAGAGCAGGACCAGGGGGAAUAGCGAGGUCCCAGGCAGCCAGGCCUGGAGGUGCGGGAGUGUGUUUCGCAGAGUGACCAGCAGGGGGCGCGUGUCGG